rnacentral:rRNA from 1 species
ACAGAGGUUCCAAGCGUUGUUCGGAUUCAUUGGGCGUAAAGGGUGCGUAGGCGGCGCUGUAAGUCGGAUGUGAAAUCUCAGGGCUCAACCCUGAAAUUGCAUUCGAUACUGCAGUGCUCGAGGACUGGAGAGGAGACUGGAAUUCACGGUGUAGCAGUGAAAUGCGUAGAUAUCGUGAGGAAGACCAGUGGCGAAGGCGGGUCUCUGGACAGUUCCUGACGCUGAGGCACGAAGGCCAGGGGAGCGAACGGGAUUAGAUACCCCGGUAGUCCUGGCAGUAAACGGUGCACGUUUGGUGUGGGAGGAUUCGACCCCUUCCGUGCCGGAGCUAACGCGUUAAACGUGCCGCCUGGGGAGUACGGUCGCAAGAUUA